UGGCCCGUCGUCUAACGGUAAGACAGGAGCCUUUGGAGCUUCUAACGGAGGUUCGAUUCCUCCCGGGCCAA
rnacentral:tRNA from 1 species